GAAGGUGCGGGCGUUAUCCGGAUUCACUGGGUUUAAAGGGUGCGUAGGCGGGUUGGUAAGUCCGUGGUGAAAUCUCCAAGCUUAACUUGGAAACUGCCGUGGAUACUAUCAAUCUUGAAUAUAGUGGAGGUGAGCGGAAUAUGUCAUGUAGCGGUGAAAUGCUUAGAUAUGACAUAGAACACCCAUUGCGAAGGCAGCUCGCUACACUAUUAUUGACGCUGAGGCACGAAAGCGUGGGGAUCAAACAGGAUUAGAUACCCUGGUAGUCCACGCCCUAAACGAUGAUUACUCGACAUCAGCGAUACACUGUUGGUGUCUGAGCGAAAGCAUUAAGUAAUCCACCUGGGAAGUACGACCGCAAGGUUGAAACUCAAAGGAAUUGACGG
rnacentral:rRNA from 1 species